CUAACAUGAAUGACAUUGUACGUGGAGAAGCUUCAGAAUCUGAGGAUGAAUGUGUAGGACCAAAUUUUAAAAAGAAUAUUUUGGCUGCGGAAUUACCGGGAGAGGCCUCGGAAACCUCAUCAGAUGAAGAUGUUUAUGAUAAAAGUUUGGAUGCG